CUAAAGGAGUCAGAGAAUAAGACAGCAGGGAUGAAGGGAGGGCGGAAGGAAGUGGAUUCACUGUUGGCUGAAUUGUUGGGGAUGCAAGGCUUGCUGUAAAGAAGGCUGUGCAAAAACACAUCGAGUCACCCUCUACUCUAUUGGCUCUGAUGGGCACUUCUGAUGCAGCCUUAUAACACCAAAAACAAGGGCUGAGCUUGUGUCUCUUUAAGGGGAAUAAGUGCAAUCUCACAAAAGCAGCGGUGUGGAAACCUGUCGGGGAGUGUGGGGGAGAAAAAUACAGACAGACACAGAAAGACUGAGCAAGAGCAAGCACGACCGCAAGAAUGACUGACACUCACACCGCCACAAAGAUGAGAAAAAAAGUGUAGUAUUUGUUCAUGUGCAUUAAAACUAUAGAAUAUAUGCUUCUCUGAAGUUCUAUACAAUGAUUUAUUUGUGUCUUUAUUUGUGAGUUAAUUGAACUUAAGUGUCCCAAUUAUUAUUAUCAUCAGACUUACUGUCCUUCAUGAGAACAAAGGUGGGUGUGAACUACAGGGUGUGUGUGUCUUAAUGAAAACAAAGCUAAGCUGCUGACCGUGGCAGAUUUCUGCUCUGCUGC